rnacentral:rRNA from 1 species
ACGAACGCUGGCGGCACGCUUAACACAUGCAAGUCGAACGAGAGAAGAGAAGCUUGCUUUUCUGAUCUAGUGGCGGACGGGUGAGUAACACGUGAGCAAUCUGCCUUUCAGAGGGGGAUACCGAUUGGAAACGAUCGUUAAUACCGCAUAACAUAAUUGAACCGCAUGAUUUGAUUAUCAAAGAUUUAUCGCUGAAAGAUGAGCUCGCGUCUGAUUAGCUAGUUGGUAAGGUAACGGCUUACCAAGGCGACGAUCAGUAGCCGGACUGAGAGGUUGAUCGGCCACAUUGGGACUGAGACACGGCCCAGACUCCUACGGGAGGCAGCAGUGGGGAAUAUUGCACAAUGGAGGAAACUCUGAUGCAGCGAUGCCGCGUGAGGGAAGAAGGUUUUAGGAUUGUAAACCUCUGUCUUCAGGGACGAAAAAUGACGGUACCUGAGGAGGAAGCUCCGGCUAACUACGUGCCAGCAGCCGCGGUAAUACGUAGGGAGCGAGCGUUGUCCGGAAUUACUGGGUGUAAAGGGAGCGUAGGCGGGAUCGCAAGUCAGAUGUGAAAACUAUGGGCUUAACCCAUAAACUGCAUUUGAAACUGUGGUUCUUGAGUGAAGUAGAGGUAAGCGGAAUUCCUAGUGUAGCGGUGAAAUGCGUAGAUAUUAGGAGGAACAUCAGUGGCGAAGGCGGCUUACUGGGCUUUAACUGACGCUGAGGCUCGAAAGCGUGGGGAGCAAACAGGAUUAGAUACCCUGGUAGUCCACGCCGUAAACGAUGAUUACUAGGUGUGGGGGGACUGACCCCUUCCGUGCCGCAGCAAACGCAAUAAGUAAUCCACCUGGGGAGUACGACCGCAAGGUUGAAACUCAAAGGAAUUGACGGGGGCCCGCACAAGCAGUGGAGUAUGUGGAUUAAUUCGAAGCAACGCGAAGAACCUUACCAGGUCUUGACAUCGUAUGCAUAGCUCAGAGAUGAGUGAAAUCUCUUCGGAGACAUAUAGACAGGUGGUGCAUGGUUGUCGUCAGCUCGUGUCGUGAGAUGUUGGGUUAAGUCCCGCAACGAGCGCAACCCUUACUGUUAGUUGCUACGCAAGAGCACUCUAGCAGGACUGCCGUUGACAAAACGGAGGAAGGUGGGGAUGACGUCAAAUCAUCAUGCCCCUUAUGACCUGGGCCUCACACGUACUACAAUGGCUGUCAACAGAGGGAAGCAAAGCCGCGAGGUGGAGCAAACCCCUAAAAGCAGUCUUAGUUCGGAUUGUAGGCUGCAACCCGCCUACAUGAAGUCGGAAUUGCUAGUAAUCGCAGAUCAGCAUGCUGCGGUGAAUACGUUCCCGGGCCUUGUACGCACCGCCCGUCACGCCAUGGGAGUCGGUAACACCCGAAGCCUGUAGUCUAACCGCAAGGAGGACGCAGUCGAAGGUGGGAUUGAUGACUGGGGUG